GAAAUAAGGAAUAUUGAAUUUCUAAUUCAGUGUAUAAUAUAGUUAAGUAUUAUUAUUUCU
rnacentral:tRNA from 1 species